rnacentral:rRNA from 3 species
UGUUUCGGCUAGGGGGCCAUCCCGGCUUACCAACCCGAUGCAAACUGCGAAUACCGGAGAAUGUUAUCACGGGAGACACACGGCGGGUGCUAACGUCCGUCGUGAAGAGGGAAACAACCCAGACCGCCAGCUAAGGUCCCAAAGUCAUGGUUAAGUGGGAAACGAUGUGGGAAGGCCCAGACAGCCAGGAUGUUGGCUUAGAAGCAGCCAUCAUUUAAAGAAAGCGUAAUAGCUCACUGGUCGAGUCGGCCUGCGCGGAAGAUGUAACGGGGCUAAACCAUGCACCGAAGCUGCGGCAGCGACACUGUGUGUUGUUGGGUA